rnacentral:pre_miRNA from 1 species
AGCCUUCUGGAUUUAAGUCGAGGUUUCCGUCAGACACCAGACCAUCAGUACUGACGAGACUCCCAAGAUACGUGAAGCG